UUCGCGAGCCAGCGCCGCGCCGGCUCAUGGAGUGGGACAUCUAGCAGCCGAAGAAGAAGUUCAAGAGGGGCGGCAGACGCUCGUUCGCUGCGUAAGACGAUGAGGACUUCAAAGCCGACUCCAGCGAUUUGGAUUUGGAGCUCACAGAAGGGGCUGACUCCAGAAGGGCUUUCUCCAGAGGUAUUAGCUCAAGCUUAUUUUCUAUGGUGGUAUACGUAUUUUUGCGUUUGAUUGUUGCAGACGAUUAGAAUCUACGAGUUGGUUGGGGUGCCGCCGCCGCCGCAGGGAACCCCUCGCUGGCGGGUCUGGUCGAGUCCGGUGCGCUUGUACGCGUAUCGUGGCGGCAGUUUGGCCCUGUCCCGGCGUGGUGGCGGCAGUUUGGCCCUGUCCCGGCGUGGUGGCCGCUAAACUUCAUGGAGCUCGAGGACGUGUGGAUCCUCGGCACCUCGCACCUCUCCGCGUCCUCCACACCGUCAAAGGAAAAGAUCAUCGUGUAAUUGAGUUGUCUGCUGCCAAAUUUUUACUAUCAUCAGUGGUUACUUUCUUUCUUCUACUUGAAAUUACUCGUGUCGUUUAGUGUUGGUGUAACCCAAUGCCUGUAAAUGACUUCGUAGUCAGAACUGAUCUUUUUUGUUUGUUUAGUGUUUACUGGGUGCAACUGUUUGCUUCAUGUUCCACAAAUUGAACUGACAAACCUAUCAUCUGUUUGUGCUGCUGCAUCGGCUUUUGGUUUACAACAGUUACCAACUUUAGCAAGUUUGAUUUCUCAUUUAUGCUGAGAUAAUGCUUACCUCUGUUAGUGGUGUUUUAGUGUGGUUCGUUAUCCUCGCAAUCCUUUAGCAAGAUGGCAUACAUAGACUAACUGUACAGUGUCACCUAAGACAGUAUGCGUGUUGAAUUUUGCCUUCUAAAUAGGUUUUAGAUAGUUUUCGGUAUGUUAUUAUUGAUUGAUUUAAGAACUGGCUUGUAACCAUUUUUGGCAACUUUUGUAGCACAAUUUUUUAUGCUGCAUGUUAUGAUCUUAGAAAUCAGCUUGGGUCUGAGACCUGAUUAUUUGGAUUGACUAAAAACAAGCUCAUCCAGAUUUACCAACUCUGAUGCAGGGCCCCCUCAUUGAAGAGCCUCCAUCUCUGCCUGUGCCAUUACAUCACUAAUCAAGGUUUUGUAGAGGCAGUUAAUUGCUUCCCUCAGCUCGAGGAGCUAGACAUUACAUUCUGCUCAUUGUAUGGCAUCGUGUGUGAGACUGCUGGGAGAGCCUGCCCGACAACGUCGUCGUCUAGCUCUGCCGGAGCAGGCAAGGACGUGUAUCCCCUUAAAUGUUAUGCCGCUUAAACAAAUGCUGUCAAAUCUUCUUCCGGGAGCGGGGCUAACAAACCACGUUGCAGAGCCCUCACUUCGGAGCUGGAAUCAUGUACUCGUCCAGUGCCAACGAGCCGCUUUUGAAGUCCAACAUGUUCUCUCUCGGUGGCUCCAAGUUCUUAGGCGCAAUCAACAGAAGCAUCAACUUGGGUGGGCAGAGCGCUCUUGCUCUCCGUCUGCUCCGCGUUGUUUUUCCUUCUAAAAUUUCUACCAGUGCGAACUAUCCGUUUGGAGGAGAGUUCCGAGCAACUAGGAGAGUUUCUGAAGAUAUUGGAAGUACAACACAAAAAGGUCAGAACCACUUUUCAAUCUAACCAGAUGUUUAUAUGUUUGGUGGUGAAGCUACAAAAAUUCUAGACUAUGUGGAAUAUUUCCCAAAUUGAGUUGGUAAUGGAAAGUAAAGGACUGCAGAAUGUGCCGCUUCUGGUCUUGAAGGUUUCCAACAUGGUUCGUCAAUGGAAAGGUAGUAUCGGCUUGCGAAAUAUAUUCCUAAGCCUACAGAAUGUAAGCUAAAAUCACGUGCUCACUGUGUACAUUUUUUUCU